rnacentral:lncRNA from 1 species
UCUAUCUUUAAUAACAAAAAAGUUAUGCAAAAUUUUCGAUCUAAAAAAGUACAUGUUAAUUGUAAAAAACCGAAAUUUCGAUUUUUCUCAAAAACUCUAAUUUUUUAAAUUUUGAUAAUUAUGUGCAAGGUGCCCCUUCACUAGGAGUACUUGACUGUUUUUAAAUGAAAGCUCUAUCUUUAAUACCAAAAAAGUUAUGCAAAAUUUUCGAUCCAAAAAAGUACAUGUUAAUUGUAAAAAACCGAAAUUUCGAUUUUUCUCAAAAACUAUAAUUUUUUCAAUUUUAAUAAUUAUGUGCAAGGUGUCCCUUCACUAGGAGUACUUGACUGUUUUUAAAUGAAA